rnacentral:rRNA from 1 species
AUGGUCUACCUCCGAAAAGAGAGGCUGCCUUUAGGUGUUAAGGGGAAGCUUAGGCAGCGAAGGUAUGGGCCCUUCUGUAUCAUGAGGAAAAUAAAUGAUAAUGCUUAUGUGAUAAAUCUUCCAAGCGACAUGGGCAUAUCCAACACUUUCAAUGUUGCGGACUUGACUCUCUACCAUCCAGAACAAGCGCUCUAUGACGAUAACUCGAAGGCGAGUUCCAAACAACCAGGGAAGAAUGAUGAGGAACAACAGAUGAGAAAUAAAAACAGAUGCUACAUCUGUUUGGCUACUUCUAGAUACUUCCACUCUAGUGUAGUAUUUCUUUUUUUUCUUUACCCUACCUUCUGUCUCUAG